rnacentral:rRNA from 1 species
UGGGGAAUUUUGGACAAUGGGCGCAAGCCUGAUCCAGCCAUGCCGCGUGAGUGAAGAAGGCCUUCGGGUUGUAAAGCUCUUCGGCCGGGAAGAAAUCGUGUUCUCUAACAUAGGACAUGGAUGACGGUACCGGACUAAGAAGCACCGGCUAACUACGUGCC